CUAGCGACUUCUAGAGUUUGAUCCUGGCUCAGAUUGAACGCUGGCGGCAUGCCUUACACAUGCAAGUCAAACGGUAACAGGUUAAGCUGACGAGUGGCGAACGGGUGAGUAAUAUAUCGGAACGUGCCCAGUCGUGGGGGAUAACUGCUCGAAAGAGCAGCUAAUACCGCAUACGACCUGAGGGUGAAAGCGGGGGAUCGCAAGACCUCGCGCGAUUGGAGCGGCCGAUAUCAGAUUAGGUAGUUGGUGGGGUAAAGGCCCACCAAGCCAACGAUCUGUAGCUGGUCUGAGAGGACGACCAGCCACACUGGGACUGAGACACGGCCCAG
rnacentral:rRNA from 1 species